GAGAAAGAAAGCUGCAUGGCCACAAAGGUCGCCUGAGGGUUCUCGUGGACAACUUACAGGGAAGAAACCUGUCAAAACUCGGUGCUUGCGUGGGCGAGGCGGCCCAGGGGAUAAAGGAGCUUGCUGCGAAGCCUGAGAGCCUGAGAUUGAUCCCCAGGACGACGGGGUGGAAGGAGACAUCUGCGCGUCGUCUCCCGACCUCUGCGCGUCGUCUCCCGACCUCUACGCGUGUGCCGGGCAGCAGGCGUGUCGCCCGUGUACACAAAAGAACUGAAUCAUUCCUGACAGUAAAAGGAAGUUCUACUAAGUUACCCGGAGAACAGAUGAAACGAGGCAGCCAUCAAAGAAGCAAACAGCCUGGUCCCUGUGUGUGCUCAUCGCUGCCUGCAAAUAGCCAUCAGCAUCCGGGGAGAUUAUUUUAUCCAGAAUCACAAUAGUAAUCAAAGAAUACAAUUUGCUUCUACCGUUGGCUUUCAUGUAGGAAAAACAACCACAUUUCUUGUAGAGUCAACUGAAUAAUAAUCUUCAAAAUAUAAAAA